rnacentral:rRNA from 1 species
UACAGAGGUGGCAAGCGUUGUUCGGAAUUACUGGGCGUAAAGGGCGCGUAGGCGGCCUUCUAAGUCAGACGUGAAAUCCCCCGGCUUAACCUGGGAACUGCGUCUGAUACUGGAAGGCUUGAGUGCGGGAGAGGGAUGUGGAAUUCCAGGUGUAGCGGUGAAAUGCGUAGAUAUCAGGAGGAACACCGGUGGCGAAGGCGGGUCUCUGGGCCGUAACUGACGCUGAGGAGCGAAAGCAUGGGGAGCGAACAGG